rnacentral:rRNA from 1 species
GAUGAACGCUGGCGGCGUGCUUAACACAUGCAAGUCGAACGAAGCAAUUUAACGGAAGUUUUCGGAUGGAAGUUAAAUUGACUGAGUGGCGGACGGGUGAGUAACGCGUGGGUAACCUGCCUCAUACAGGGGGAUAACAGUUAGAAAUGACUGCUAAUACCGCGUGAGCGCACAGGAUCGCAUGGGCUGGUGUGAGAAACUCCGGUGGUAUGAGAUGGACCCGCGUCUGAUUAGCUAGUUGGUGGGGUAACAGCCUACCAAGGCGACGAUCAGUAGACGACCUGAGAAGGUGACCGGCCACAUUGGGACUGAGACACGGCCCAAACUCCUACGGGAGGCAGCAGUGGGGAAUAUUGCACAAUGGGCGAAAGCCUGAUGCAGCGACGCCGCGUGAGAGAAGAAGUAUUUCGGUAUGUAAAGCUCUAUCAGCAGGGAAGAAAAAUGACGGUACCUGACUAAGAAGCACCGGCUAAAUACGUGCCAGCCGCCGCCGUAAUAC